rnacentral:rRNA from 1 species
AUACGUAGGUGGCAAGCGUUGUCCGGAAUUAUUGGGCGUAAAGCGCAUGUAGGCGGUUUGGUAAGUCGGUCGUGAAAAUGCGGUGCUUAACGCCGUAUGGCGAUUGAAACUGCUGAACUUGAGGGCAGGAGAGGAAAGGGGAACUCCCAGUGUAGCGGGGAAAUGCGUAGAUAUUGGGAAGAACACCGGUGGCGAAGGCGCCUUUCUGGACUGUGUCUGACGCUCAGAUGCGAAAGCCAGGGUAGCGAACGGGAUUAGAUACCCCGGUAGUCCUGGCCGUAAACGAUGGGUACUAGGUGUGGGAGGUAUCGACUCCUUCCGUGCCGGAGUUAACGCAAUAAGUACCCCGCCUGGGGAGUACGGCCGCAAGGCUUAAACUCAAAUGAAUUGACGGG